rnacentral:tRNA from 1 species
GGCUCUAUAGUGUAGUGGUGAUCACACUGGACUCUGAAUCCAGAAGCCCCAGUUUGAGCCUGGGUAGGGCCU